UACUACCGAAGCUACGGCAUCAGUAAUGAUGGGUAGGGGAGCUUCCCAUACGGGUUGAAGCAUGACCGUAAGGACAUGUGGACAGUAUGGGAGGGAGAAUGUUGGCAUGAGUAGCGAGAUGUGGGUGGGAAUCCCACAGGCCGUAAACCCAAGGUUUCCAGGGGAAGGUUCGUCCGCCCUGGGUUAGUCGGGACCUAAGCUGAGGCCGAAAGGCGUAGGUG
rnacentral:rRNA from 1 species